UACAUAGGCCUUCUAGUAUCUUGGUUUGGAAUUGGGGCAAGGAGUGGAGGGGCCUGGCACCUGAUGGUUUGACCUUCAUAGCAGGGAAUCUCAGCUGAAGCUAAAUAAAAUGGUUCUACUUUAUCACGGGGUUACAAUUAAGAAACAUCUAGCUAGUGCUCAUUUUAUGCGAGGCUCUGUUCUAGGUGCUGGAGAUUCAAAAUGAAGACGAGGUCACCUGUCUUGAGGAGCUCACAGUGUAGGGAACAUUGCCCUCUUCGCCACACUUUGUGUUCGAGUUUUAGGUGGUCUUUAUUCUCCAAAGCACCUGAGUAUUUCGUGGGCUGUGAGGUGGGAAAGGGACAAGCACAAGUGUGGGGAGAUCAAGGGGGUGUGUUUCUAUAAGGCUGGACCUGCCACAUAGAGUUUCUCAUCCCCCACGAGAAAUGCCAAAAUCAGGAGGUGAGAAGAGCCAAGAGUUGGAAGUCAGGGUCCAGGAAGCCUCAAAGGACAUCUACUGGGUUGCAGAAGAGUAGGGACCAGAGACCAGUAUCAAGGCUGGGUUCUAAGAACUACAGGAAAAUUGAACAAAAAUACCCAGUUGAGAGUAAAUGGGCAAAGAUCAAGAGAAGUUGCCUAGAUGAGGCCACUAUGGCUUGCCUUCACUUGUUGGAAAAAGCAUGGUACCAGAGUGGGUCGGCAAAGUUAAGGGCCAGCUAUGACCACGGGGCUGAGUGCCGCAGGAGGAACUCUGUAUAGGUCGGGAAGAGCUCUUGAGCCCAGGUGGUUGUUGCCUGAAGCCUAUAGAGAGAGGUCACGGGCUGAGCACCCCAAUAGGGAAGCAGCUUAAGAAGAUGCCGAAGCUCAAAUCCUACUGGUGAGAUUCCUGCUUUCCUCUUGGGUUACUUUAAUUAAAUUCUGUCCUUUCUUCAGAGCUCACCUAAGUCAUAUCUUUUCUAGAGCCUCACUGAGAUGUCUGUUUCCUCUGAAUUUUAAGAGGAGUUAGGAAAUUAGCAACAUGUUGCUCUGCAUUGUCAAUUCAUCUUUGUAGACACACCCUAUCCUUUGACUUAGUGAAGCACAGGACCCAAAAUAGCCUGCUUGGCGCCUGUCCUACAGCCCUGCAGCUAUACCCAUGUCACUCACACUGGCAGGUUAAGCUCUGCCAUGGCCUGGGACACCAAUUCUCAUAUUGAUGGCCUUACCACAGACAUUUACCUUGUGUCAUUUUUGCUGCUGGUGACUUUUGUGUCCCAAGCCCCCAGUGCCUUGCUGACUCCUCAUAUUUUUGCCUCAUAUAUCAGUCUUUCAGAGGGCUGAGGUCAUGCUAAAAUAAUAGCUGAAGCAUAAGGCACAUGUAACUGGUAUAUGAGGAAAAAUGACCCAUGUAAUCAGACAUUUCUGGGAGGAAGAGGCUCCUUCCUCCCCUGACCGGGGAUGCUAUAGUAGAAGGAACUCUGGGGGAGGAAGGCUGUGGAGCUUUCUGGUAAAGGAGGCAGGGGGGUGAGCUGAGCCAGGGAAGGUCUGGGUUGCUUCUCACUCAUCCUCUCCAUCACCUACCACCUGUAGCUCUUUAUUUUCUUGUCAUAGGGUAAUAAAAUGAGUUUGCAAAUCUUUCACUAUCAUAAACUAUAGAGAACAAAAACAGAAAACACUCCAUUAACUCAAUUGGAAAUUAAUCAUUCUCUGAUAUCCAAACCAUAUGUUCACAUUUCAGUACUUAUAGAUGUAUAAAUAAAAAUUAAAAAUUUAUGUCCCUUAAAUCUAUAUUAUAUAGUCCUAUAGUCUAAUAAUCAUGUCAAUGGCAAUUAAAAUCCAUUUUCUAUAUUAUACCCAUUUUGUUUAAUGCUUAGGAAGCAAGACUGUCCUGUGACUUUGAUCUAAAUAUCUUCACAAGUCUGGAAGUAAUUACAAUAUUUUUUUAGCGUUCUACUGUUAAAAGUCUGAUUUAUUUUCUAGUCUUAUUUAUUUUUUAUUUAUUUUUUUCUUUUUUUUAAGUUUACAUUUUACUUUGUUAAUAUAUAGUGCAAUAUUGGUUUCAGGAGUAGAAUUCAGUGCCCUAAAAAAAUUUUUUUUAAUGUUUAUUUAUUUUUGAGGAGGAGGGGAAAAGAGAGAAAGGGGACAGAGGAUCCCACAUGGGCUCUGGUUGACAGCAGAGACCCAGAUGCAGGGCUCAAAUUCAGGAACCGCGAGAUCAUGACCUCAGCUGAAGUCAGACACACAAUCCACUGAGCCACCCAGGUGUCCCUACCAUCUUAUCUAAAAAGAUCACCUUCUAGUGUUAUCUAAAAAGAUCAACUGGUUAAACAAAAACAAGAGUGACCCACUCUGGGACAAGAAUACUAGUCAUUAUUCUUUGGUACAAGGUGUGGAGGUCCCUUCAGGCAGCAGAUAUGUCAUGCCGUGAAUGGAACCUAUAAAAUCUAGAACCGAAGGAAUGAUGUUCCAGGCUGGAAAAGGUAAAACACUCUGAAAAAUCAAUGAAAAGCAUGUCUGAGUGCUUCACCUAUGAACUGCUCUUUAUAAACUAUUGUUAACAAAUUCAAGAGAAAAAGAAGACUUAAUCCCCAUGUUUGAUAAUUUUAUAAAAGGUAGGAGAAUUGCCGAGUGUAAGUUCACGUCCAAAAUCAGAACCAAAAAGCAUUCCCUAGGUUGCUUUGCCCUCCAUCACCACCAGAAUGACCGACAGGGAUUACUGCUGCAAGAUUUGUUCUACCAGCAGCUCUGGGUUUUGACAGAGAUUGAGUUUGGCUAUCCUGUGUCCUUGUCCACUUGCCUUAGUAUGUUAGAACAAGUCGAGGAUUCCAAGGGCACCAGUUCUAUGCUUUUUUGCAGCUCAGGCCUUGUUCUAUUCUACAACGACAGAUGGCACUUGUGUAUCCAGCCAUUUCAUAAAUUCACAUCAUUUGUCACAAAGCAGAAACAAGAGGAUAAAGACGGAUCAAUGCAAAUCAGCAUUAUUGGAAAUAUAACUCAAGAACACAUUUGCUCAUGCCAAGAAUGCUGUGCUCAAGUAUGAGGAGGGUGUUGUUUUUCCUGGCCCAAGAAGAGAGAUUUUCUGGUUUAGCCCCUUUAGAGAAUAACCCAGGCUAAACCAGACAGCUUUAGCUUGGUGAACAUCAUGCUGGACGGAAAUCCCGUCUAUCACCACAAUGCAAGAAUUCUUUUCAUCUUGUAUACUGGCCCAGGAAGAAAACAGUUGCAUAUGUAUCACUGAAAAGCUGUGCCCCUUUUAUACCUGUAGAGGAGUAUAUAUGGUAUUUUCAGGUGCAGUUUCACAAGUCUAGUCACUGUUUCUGUAUUUCUUUUCCAUGACAUAUUAAUUUUGUCCGGAAGCACUUGAAUUCUCUUAAUCACUCAGCAGGUUACCUUCUAAGGGUGUGUGUUUGUGUUUAUGGCCAGAAAAAGCAGAUUUUUACCCCUCUCAAUGACUAGAACACAUCACAGUCCGGGUUACAGUAAAAAUACAAGAAAAUGUCCCUGACUUAGGAAGAAUGUAUUACUUUAUUCUAUUUUAAGGCAAAUGGCUGUUAUCUUACGAAAUGGAAAGCAAUUAGAUAUAUUUGAACAUUGUUAUUACUUGCUUUAGGUAAGGAAUGCCAGAUCAAACAACUUUUACCAUUGGCAAAACAAAAACCACAACUAUAAAGUCUUCAAAAUGAGCGGGUCAGAUGUCACCAGUUUUGCCUUUCAACAUUCACUGCAUUUACCAAAGUCUUCGCUCUUUGAAAGGUGUGCAAUUUAUGUUUAAAUCAGAUUGAAUGUUUUGUUUUGUUUUGUUUUGUUUGCUACUCAGAACAUCACUGUACAUCAAUGUUGCAAAAGCAGUGUCCUUAUAGCAAGGUAAGUGUGCAGAGUACAUGCAGGAUUGAUUUAGAGGCCAAGCGCACCCCCACAUUACUUUAACACAUAAUUCAGAAACAUUUCUUACAAAUAUUAACAUGUGUAGGAAGUUAUUAUGGGUGGGGAAGAAUUAUUUACAAAUAACUCUUAGCUGGACUUCACAAAUUAUGGAACAGGGAGUGUUUUGGUAAAGAUGCCCAGGACAGCUCAGGAAAUCAGCUGGAUGGACAGACCACAUGUUCUCAAUUUGGGGUCAGUGUUUGCUUAUCACUCAUCAUGAACAUCUCCAACCUGAAUUGAGUUAGAAGUUGUAGGAACCCCUCAGUGGAAACUUAGAGCAGCAUUCAUCCACUAUGUGUGGGGAGCCUCUUGGCAGGAUGCUAGAGAAAAAUCCUCAAACACCCUAUGAUAUUCUGGAAAGAACCCAGCCAACUGUAAAGUGACUGUCUUCUGAAAAGCCUUUAUUGUGUAAUAUCCUAGAGUAUUGCUGUUGUAAGAGGCCUUAGUUGCACUGCUCCACUAGACAGUUUUUCAGGAUAGGCCAGUUCUGGCAUCAUGUGGACGAGCCCAUAUAAACUUGAUUCUGUUGUAGGAAUUCUUUCCUCAAGUAUUUUGCUUUACAUGUAGAGGGAAAAAAAACACAGAAACUGAGUUUCUCAUGAUUAUAUAGACAUCCCUAUAAAGCACUAGUCUAAUUCACACUUUAUUAAUCAGAAAAUUAAAAUGCAGAGAGGCCCCAAACACCCUGUGAUAUGCUUUGCUUCUUCACUCUUGUUUUUCCUUAAGCCAAGUUGUGUUUGACUAUGCAUUCUUUGCUCAGUGUUCAUGCCCAGUGGCUCCAAGCCAAGCAGGUUGGAGGUAUGGCUGGGAAAUCAUUACACAGAUUGAAGAGGCUCCUAUCGCCUUCGGAUGUGAAGGAUGCUGUGCUCAUCUGGCCAUGCCAUCAUGUUUGGUCUGACGUGGUGGAAUGAAGGAUUUAGGAGGUGGUUACAGGCUGAGUAUCAGAAAAUUGACUGAAGACAACUCCCUUGAUUGUUGUUGACUCUCCUUUGAGGAGGAGGGAUGCUGUUCCUCAACCAAUUUUGCAGUCACCCUCAGAGCCAACCUUAAAAGAAUUCCCACUGACAAAAAUUGACAAAAGGAGGAUGAUGGCUGUGGAUGCUUAAAAUACAAGGAGGACACCUGGGUGGUUCACUCAGGUAAGCGUCUCACUCUUGAUUUUGGCUCAGGUCAUGAUCUCAUGGUUCGUGAUCUCAAACCCCUUGUGGGCUCCAGGCUGACAGUGUGGAGCCUGCUUGGGAUUCUCUCUCUUUCUCUCUCUCCCUCUCUUUCUUUCCCUCUCCACCGCUCAUGCUCUCUCUCUGUCUUUCUUGCUCUCAAAAUAAGUAAAUAAAAACUUAAAAAAAUAAAAUGAAAAAAUACAAUGAAUAUAUAAAAAGACAUUACUCCAUAAUUACAUGCAUGUGCACACACUCACAUCAAAGACCAGAAUUUAAUUUUAUUUUCUUAAACAUCUUUUCUGUGGGUAGUAACUGUUCUGAAACAGUUUUUGAUUCUGAAGUGCUAUUAUUGCACUUUUAGGAUCUCAGGUUUUAUUGGUUUUGAAUUACUAAUUAAAAAUAUAUUUUUGUAAUAUUUUCUAAGCAAAACUUGGAUGGCAUUUUAAAAACCCAAAUUGUGUAGGCUUGUCUUGAGAAUGCCUUGAGAAUGUACCUUGCAGACUUCCAACUACAGGGACAUUAACUGACCAUUAGUUAUGGUCACAUCCACCUGUCACAUUCAGAAAUGCAUUGCUUC